rnacentral:rRNA from 1 species
GUGGGGAAUCUUCCGCAAUGGACGAAAGUCUGACGGAGCAACGCCGCGUGAGUGAAGAAGGUUUUCGGAUCGUAAAGCUCUUUCGUUAGGGACGAACGUGCUCUUUGUGAAUAAUGAGGAGUAAUGACGGUACCUAAAUAAGAAGCCACGGCUAACUACGUGCCAGCAGCCGCGGUAAUACGUAGGUGGCAAGCGUUGUCCGGACUUAUUGGGCGUAAAGCGCGCGCAGGCGGGAUAUCAAGUCUGUCUUAAAAGUGCGAGGCUCAACCUCGUGAGGGGACAGAAACUGGUAUUCUUGAGUGUCGGAGAGGAAAGUGGAAUUCCAAGUGUAGCGGUGAAAUGCGUAGAGAUUUGGAAGAACACCAGUGGCGAAGGCGACUUUCUGGACGAUGUCUGACGCUGAGGCGCGAAAGCUAGGGGAGCGAACGGGAUUAGAUACCCGGGUAGUCC